rnacentral:lncRNA from 1 species
GCCACCUUAGCAUCCAGGUCACAGCAAAGUUCAAGGAACUUAUGGUAAAGAUCAAUCACACUUAUGGCACUGCCAACAGAAGCACAUGCUUGUGGAAAAUAGCGUAAAAGAAUUUUAAGGAGGAGAGCUGGGCUCUGAAUUACACCGGAGGCAGAGCGUCUGGACAGUUUUCAUCAGAAGCCACGUCCUAGAGGUAGCGAGCUGUAAACAGUCGUUAAAAGCAACGGAGGAAUGUGUUAGGGUGGGCCCAGGAAGGUGUCAGGCCACGGCGGGCACGUGAGGGAAUGGGCACAGCCUUCAUUGUAGGCACAGAAGCUGGAGCCAGCGGGAGGAGGCAAGCGGGCAACCGAACAGAAUGAUGAGAAAAACCGAAGCUCAGGGAACAUUUCCAAGACCAAGAGCUGAGAACGCUGCGGAGCUGAAAUUUAAAUCCAGUUUGUCAGACCCCCCCAAUCCGACAUUGUCCCCUCGUCCUGCCAUGGCCCAUAUCCCAGGAGGACCUGUCACCAUCCUCCACCUUGGUGAGACAUUGCCCAAGUUAAUGGGCCCAACAAUAGGGUCAGACUACAUUGCUGCUCCAUUUCCAAGAAAUUCUCCACGUGCAACAUCACAUUUCCUGUAACUCCAGUGCCUCAGGUCUCGACUCAAAGGUCACCUCUUCAGAGAGGCCCCUCCUAAUGAACUUCCUAAGCCCAGGCUAUCCUAUGGAUGCACUCCUCCCACCAUCUGCUCUCCCAAGCUCUGCUGAAACCCCCCUGCCUAGAACAAUUUGCUUCGUAGCUGACUUUCCAUAAACAUUCAUACAAUGGAUACAGAAAUGACACAGAGGUCAGCAUCAGAACCCAGGAUCCCCCAAAGCCCUGUUUCUCUCUUUCACAGCCUCUCUCUACCUUAUUCCUAUCACCAAGGGAUUCUUCUCUCUUUCCCUCUUUCUACUAUUUGUUAGAAUGGAAAGCACUGGGCCGGUAAAGCUGUCACUCAGGAUAUGAUUUUUUCUCUGCCACUUUCUGGCUGUGUGCUUUUCUUAAAUCAUGGAACUGCAACUGAAAACGCAUGGAUGACAACACAAGGAUUAUUUUAAAGAUUAAAUGAAAUAACUAGGAUGACUGGGCCUGGCAUAUAUUAAGCAUCAAUUAACAUUAAUUGCUUUGCAUCCUUCUCUUUGUUUCUCUCCUCUCCCAUUGUUCCUUCCUUAUAAAUUAAUUCCCUGCCUUUCUCACAAUCUUUACUCCCUACUCAUAAAGCUUCUGCCAGGGUUGUCAGCAGGAUUUAUGUACUUGAAUUGAACUGAGUUAGGUAGGCAUGAAUGAAAGGCAAGUUAUCUCUUUCUAGGGGGAGAAAAAUUUAAGGCAGAGUGAUGUGAGAAGUGUCGACAAGACCCAGGAAAGCCCAGGGAGAGGGGCUGGGGCUAAGGCGUCUGCCCGCUUGGCAGCAGCUGUGAUGUUCGGAGUACGUGUUCAGACCAGCAGUCCCUGAGAUGCUAUUCCACUUAUUCUGGAGACCACUCUGCUCUUAGCCCCGCUGGGCAGGUAGAUUUGGAAAUGUUUAUUGCAUGAGAUGUGGGAUGGAAGAAAGAAACCUGAAUUGGGAAUGAAGAGGCUUGUUCCACCUUCCCUCAAUCCUGCCAGUAGCCAGCUACAGAGCUUAGGAAAAGUCUGUUUACCUCCCUGGACCUCAGCCUACCCUCUGACAAUUAAAGGGAGAUCACAGUUUUGAAGGCAUCUACCAGCUCUGACGCGCUCUGGCUAAACCAGACCAAAAAUUUUUUUUACAGCCAUUUUUGAAAAGGGAGUGAGAGAAGAGAACUGCAGAAGCUUAAAGAAGCACCAUUUGCAAAGUUUUUUUUUGUUCUGUUUCCAACAAUCUUACUUAUUCGCAGCACAGAUUCUGUUAGGCUUAGACUUGUGUUUCGGUGGCACUGGAUUGAUAGACUCAUACUAAUUGGUGUGGGUGUCUCAAUUUUCUCCGUCCAACUUUGCUGGGGUCUCGCCUUCUCUCUAUGGAAGCUCUUCUCAGGCUCACAAGAGCUGAGAUUUCUCAGAGGCGCCUGUAGAUGGAUUUGCCUUUUUUCUGCUAUAUCCAUCUGAAGCCACAGCAACUCUCUCUGAGCCAAAACCACUCACUAAUUAAUACAUUUCACAGGGUGAAUGAAGCACUGGCACGACCAGCAGCUUGGGGCAGCUCCCAAAGCCAUGGCCUUGCCCAGUGCCCAGAAAGUCCUGCCUGGAGACGGCCAGUGCCAGUUUCCUCCAUGCCAGCACCUCACCCUUCUCAUUUGAACCCAGAAAUGUGUUGACUUCCAGUGCCCCCUACCACCCUAGCUGUGUCAUUUUCUCCUUCACCUGUUUGCAUUUCCAAGGAAGCACAAGUCACAGUCAUAGGGGCUCGUGAUCUAUUUUUUAUUCUCCCCUUUUCUGGGCAGAAUGAUGGAUCAACUCUGGAAAACCUAUUAGGAAAGGGCUGGGCCAUCCUGCGUUUCCGCCAGGCCUGUCCAGGUGACUUUGAGUCAACCCACUGAGAGCUACUUGGCCACAGGCCAUCUCUGUGGGGCACCAUGUUUAUUUGAACCACUGACCCUGGCCCUAGAAGAAAAGAUGAAGACUUAGUGAUACCCCUUCUCCCCAUCUAUCCCCACCAGGGGCUUUUUGGAGUGUCUUUAAUUUACAGUCUGUUGGAAAGCACUCAGAAUCACUCUACCCUACACUCAAGGCAGGACCCUUCAUCAUCCAUCUGCGCCAGGCCAGCCUGCAGGCAUAUAUCCCUGAACUUCCCAGUGAGGUUCUGAAAGAACUGGGAAACUGAGGAAGAGAUUGGAAAUAGAGGAGGCCCCAGUGAUGGCUGUUUGUAUCAAUCAUCACAUUGAUUUGCUUAGGGAAGUCUUAUUCUAACAUUACACUGGUUGGUGAUCAGGCCUCCAGGCCCACUGGACUCCUAAGAUAAGGCUCCAGCUCCACAGAGUUGGAAGACAAAAUUGUCCGCUCCCUCCUUGCAUUCACCCAGCCCGGGGUCUUAUCUGGCAGAUGAUUGCUUGUUGCUCCAGCUUUCUCUGUCCUAACCUCUACAACCAUAGUCACCAAUGAUUUACUUAUUCUUAGACCCAGCCAUAACCUCACAUUUUCCAUGAAUCAGCUAGCCCCCUAUGGUUUCCUGCAAUGUUUCCUUUAUUUUCUAUUUCCUUAUGACAUUCUUUAAAUGAAUCUCCUUCUAUAAUUACCAUUUGACCCCUGGGCUUUUACUCUCCACAUUGCUACAAAAAAAAAAAAAAAAAAAAAAGUCCAGUUCUUUUUGCAAGACGCCAUUCCUUAUAUAUCUUUCCAUCUUCCAUAAUGCCUACAACAAGGGUGACCACAUCAUAAAUUAUUGGUAAAGAUUUCCUGGUUAUGCCAAGACAGAAAUCUAGCCUGCUUGGUAGUUACAUUUCUUUAGGCAAAAUAACAAAUUGACUUUCUGCUUUGAAUUAGGCAUAUUUAUGUCAACAGGAGGCCAAAUCACUGCUGGGUGAGUGACCCACUGCUAGGAAGAUGCCCAGACGCCAACUGGGAAAAGCUUGGCCAAGCCAAUCAGGUGCUGCCAGAGCCUUCUUUGUGAUAGCAAUGCCAACCCAUGAACUAAUACCCUCCUUUGGGAGAGAUGCUGACACGCCAAGGAAACUAAUGUUUUUAUCUCAGCUGACUCAUUUGCUGAGAACAACAGGUUUAUAAGGCAACUCUUAGCUUGACCCACUC